CACAGUGAAAUACAGAUUAGACAUACAUAAAACCAAUAUAUUGUUAUACAAAUUGAAAUUCACAUCGUACUAGUGUUUCAACGAAAGACACGACUCCAAUCACCCCCUCAAUCUGACCUCUUUCCUUUCUCAUCACAGUUGACAAUUCCUUUUCCCUUGCUAAAAGUCAUGUCCAAUGAUAUGUCGGUGCCUCAUUUCUCGCUAAUUCUAGCUAGCCAUCAAAGAGUCUUGGCAAUUCUUUAUCUUCCUUGUCGCUCCUAAUUGACCGCAUGAUUAAUGAAACUCGGUUUCCUGUCUAAAGCUUCAUCGUUCACCUAAUCAAAGUAUCCACAGUCAUUACUACAGGUAAAGGACAAUCGCCCUUUUUACCGGUAUCCCGUUCGACCUCAAAACAUUUUCGAUAUCCGUGAUCACAACUGGGGAAUCGACGUUUUAAUUGGCAUUGUCCGAAGUAGUGCAUGUUACUUUUGCAACCAUAAUUGACUCCAAAAUUUAUUCCUCUCAUUCUAGCCGAUUGCUGUAAAUGAAACAAACUCAUUAAAAAGAUAGACUUAAAGAUGUAGUUAAAUGAUUGAUUAUACAUACAUAAGAUUGAAAAUAUGAUAAAAUAAAAGUUCAUCUUCCAUCGUACAUGCGUGAAAUUCCCUUGCAAAUGCUAGGAGGCUUUUUUUUUUUUUUUUACACACAAACUCAAGGCUUCAUUUCCUUUGCCAAGUGAGAACAUGUUUAUAAACAUAGCAUAUAUGAAUUUACUAGCUUACUAUGUGUGCAAAAGUAACUAUUUUACUUUUUUUUUUCCUACUAUACAACCUUGUAUUCAAUCUCAAAACUGGUGCAGGACAUUCUAUCUUCAUAAAACAACAAGAACAAUUCUCAUAAUACAUGUAUUCAAAAUAAUCGGUGCAGGAGAUUCCAUCUUGAUUUUCCCACCAUACACCCUUGUAUUCAAUCUCAGUAAAGAAACUUAUGCAAAACCGAGUUACCAACAAAGCUAAGAUGGUAGCAUUCAUCUUGAUAAACCAACAAGAAGUCUCGUAAUAAAUGUAACUUAUUCAAACAAAGAUUAAUCAACAUCCAAAAUCCAAACUUUCGUAAAGGGAAAACUUUGGAAAUUCAAUCGUGGUAGCUAUAAAAAACCAUUAUCCAAUCUCAGAAACUAUGUCAAACAACAACUUAACAAAUACUUAGAUUGAUGUCAGGGGAUGGAUGUGAGUGCGACAGCCAAUUCCAUCUCGGGGUACGAGCUUUGGGCAAAUUGACGGCGAAUCAUUUCUAUGAGUGGUGUAAAUGUGAAGAACGCGAUGUGGGCUCUUCGUUGACACCAGCUGUCGGUAACGGUAACUGUGACAGCCAACUUGGCUGCGGGAGAAGUUGCAUAUAUAUCAAUUUCAAUUUGGGGAAAAUGGGAAAACUUGUAUGGUUUUAGUGGGUGGGGUUGCCCUUUUGUUUUUUCCCUAUUUCUUU
rnacentral:lncRNA from 1 species